CAGGCUGGCUUCAAGCUCACAGAGAUCUGCCUUACUCUGGCUCCAGAGUGCUGGGAUUAAAGGUGUGUGCCAUCACUGCCUGGUCAUGGAGGAAAUUUGUUCUGUCUUUCCAGGGGCAAGGUUUUGUAGUAUGAGAUCACCUGAAAAUCAUUUAGCAGGGAUGAAGACAUCAUUGGACAGCGCUGGACUUCAGGACCCAGCAGCAGCUCUGGGCUUGCAGCACCUCCAAACCACUUCAACUUUUACACACACAGUAGAUGAUCCACUCAGGCAUGGUGGUGUGUGUAUUCAGUCCCGGAAUUCAAGAGGCUGAGGCAGGAGAAUCACAAGUUCAAGACCAGCCUGUGCUACAGAACAAUGUUUUGUUUCAGAACAAAACACACUAAGAAAAUCUAGGCUGGGAGAGAUUUCAGUCACUAACGUGCUUACCGUACAAACGUAAGGACCUGAGUUUGAUGUCCAGAACAUAGGGAACUCGGGCAUGGUGGUAUGCACUUGUAGUCCUGGUAAUGGAGAGGCAGGGCAGAAGGAUACCUGUACUUGCUGGCCUUGGUAGUUUAGCUACAUCAGCGAGCUCCAGUGUGUGCCGCCAUGUCCUGGACUUUACGUGGAUUCUGGGGACUGAACUCAGAUCCUCAUGCCUGUGCAGCCAAAACUUUACCAAAUGGCCAUCUCUUCAGAGCCAGAAGUUAGCUCUUGUCAUGCUGACCACACCGUUGUGUCAACCAGCCAGUGAAGACCUCAUGUUGCUGCUAGGAGGGACUCUGGGGAGGCAGCGGGAGAAGGGAAACUAGAAGCCCCAGGUGACAAGUGGAGCUCUCACUCUCCCUCAGGUCAAAGGACAAAAUCCUGGCCCUGGUGGAGGGCACUCGGUGGGCUGCUACCUACCAGAGAUUGUUCAGUUGGCUGCUGUGAAGCCAGAACGGGAGCAUGUUUCUCUUGUGGCCUCAGACACACCUCCUUCAGGUUUUGCUUAUCCUUCAUGAUGCAGUGUCUUGACUCGGCAACUUUCAGGAUUGCAUCGUUUCGUUGGUGAUGAAGGCUGAAGUCCGCAUUGCUUUUGUUUGUAAAGAAAAAUGGCUGGAGCCUGGCCUCUUUAGAUGCCGGGAAGGUCUUUGUGGGUAUGGGAACCCUGAGUCGAAGAAGUGUUAGUCAGGGUUUGCUAGAGGAACAGGCCUGGUAGAUAGAGCGACUCCUUAUCAGAAGGUGGUUUCUCUAGAUGGCUGUCACAACAGAGGCUGGGCAGUCCGUCACUGGCUAUGUGCACACCGAAGAAGCCCCGACGGAAGCUCUCACUCUGUGAGGCUGGAUGCCUCAGCAGUUCCAACCUGGUGGCACAGGCCUGGAUGGUUCUUGGAGAGCUGCUGAUCUUCAGACCGUACUGGAAGGCGGAAGGGGCUGGGUUCUGAUGUUGGGUGAAGAACGGUGGUACAGCAGCAAUAGAGGCUAAAUACGCUCACAGCUAGAAGGCAAGGCGGGGAAGCAAGCAGCCUCCCCUUCAGACCCUGGGCGGUGCCACUGACUCUGGGCUCAUCUCAGUUAAUACACCCUCACAGACUCACCCAGGGAUAUGUCUUUUAGGUCAUGCCAGAUCCAAUCAAGUUGACCUUCAAGUUCCAAACCCUCUCCCAGCUUCCUGCGUCAGCCUCCACUAUUUUGGCCACAUUUGCAGAGCUUCCAUCAGGGAGAGGAAGGUGGAGACAUGUCUCUAAGAAGUUCUUGGAAAGAUGUCUCAUCCGAAAUCCUGCAGCUCUCAGGGCAAAAAACAUAGCAUCUGCCAUGACUAAAACUACAGGACCUUGGAAGGAGGAAAAAGAGGCAUCCUUGAAGGCGGAAGAGAUGGCUCAGUGGUGAAAUGCCUGCUGUGCACGCAGGAGGGUCUGAUCGGCUCUCAGAACCCAGGAAGCAGAGAUGGAGGGAUGCAGUCUCGUGUCCAGCUCACCGUCCUCAUGGGCACAGCCCAGGACCCCCUGCCUAAGCCACGGUUCCAACUCUGGUUAAGGAGGAUCUCACGUCAAGCAAUGAAAUCACGACAAUCCCCCCCGGCCGUGCCCAGAAGCCUGUCUCCCAGCUGAUUGCAGAUUCUGACGAACUGACACGGGCAUCAUAGCUCCCUGAGGAUUAAGACCGCAUGGCCG